UGCUCUUUUUUUAUAUCAUACUGACCGUAAUGUAUCAAUUGUAGUUCAUCACUUCAUGUUGUUAUUUAUUUUCUUUAAGUUAAAAUUAAUAUUGUGUGUCAUUAACCCUCCUAACACAUCUCCUCUUAUUAUCAUCCCUGUAGAUUCACAAAGGCCAUGUAACACAGCGCCUACUGCGGCCAUGCCAGAGUGCCAGGAUGUUAGACCUGAAGCAUGUGGUAGCAGCUGGAGACCUUGCCACCUGGCACGCGCUGAGUUUAUGGCCGGGAUGCCAACAGCUGUGGCUUGCCCAGGAGGAUCUAGGACUGUGAUUGGCCGUGGGCAAGAGCAAGGCUACCUCCCUGACCAGGCCAACUUGCCAAUGCACCAGGACUUUGGGACCCGGUUCAGCUCCCAUCACAUACGUAUGUGUGGUGCCAACUUCUUUCAAACCCUCUGCCCCAUGAGUGGUGCCUACAUGCCAAUCAAACCCUCAGACCAUCGCUGCUGCCAGGCUGCCCCUGAUGUGGUCCUUCCACACUAUGCACUGAUCAACAGCCCAACUCACGGUGUUGCCUCUUAUCUUUGCCCUACUCCAUCAUCCAUGCAGCCCCAGGGUUUUGCCUAUGAUUCUGUCCACAUGUAUUGUCCCCACAGUGAAACUGUAAAUGCAAUGUCAUCCACCUUCAAUGUGAGGGCCCAUGCAGGCCACCAGCAAGGGACAACAGAACACUGCAGAGAGCCCAGUAAUAUGCCAAUGGGUGAACAUCCAAAUGAGCAGAAUUAUUCUGGUUAAUGACAGCACAUCGCCAGGAAUGAACAACUUAUUUAAUUUGUUCCUGAAAACAUACUGAACACCUUCAACAUUCUGCAAUAAACAUAGCUAUCUUAUGAAAUAUUCUGAGUUGUGAUGUCAUGAUCUACAGUUGCACCCAUUGAACUAGUAGAAUGAGAAGAACUAGAAUUGAAUCACCAGAACUAGAAUUAAAAUAUAUUUUCUGUAGGCCUAUUCAUUUAAAUGCAAUUUCAUGAGGAUGGAUGAAACAUUUUGAAAUAAACAUCAAUGUUCCUGGUAAAAUAGAUCAAAUAUAAACUACCUUUACCAAGCUACAAUGUUAAGAAUUAUUGUAGCCAACUGAAAAAGAUUCCCUUGGCAACCCCUUUGGAUUUUAUUUAAUAAACAAGGGUAAUGAAAGCCUAGCUAGAUAAUUUAGCUAGGUAGUUUGAUUUUGUUCACUAAAUCUAUGAUGAGACACAAACAGUAGAAGUUAAAUAUCUGGGUGAAGGCCGUUUUUCAUAUCUCCCCUUCUGGAAUUGGACUCUGGAUUUUAGUGGCAGCAGGUGUUUUCACCUCGUAACUGAAACCCAAAAUGAGCUGCAAGUGUGACUGCAACGCUGCGUGGGGUGAGCAUUAUCAGAGGAAGAAAAAGGGAGAGACCCAACUUGGCGGAAAAUCUGUCUCCCUCCAGCAGGUGGCGUUUUUUCGUUGUUUCGCCCACCAAGCAAGGAGUUUUUGCAUGGAGGUCAAUGAGUGUUGAAUUUGGUAACCAAAAAAAUGUAUGGCUUAUUUGCUAUGUGAGGUUUAUUUGAUCUAAUAGACGUUUUGUAAUGCUUAAGUUCUUACGGGAGUACUGAUAUAAGCAGGACACGUGACAUCCCUGCAACUUUGAUUUAAAAAAACACUAUAUCUGAGUUGUUGAGAUCGCUAAGCGUAUUCAUGUUGUGAGACUAGUAGCAUAGCGUCUCUCCAUUGAAUACAGUCGGUUGACGUCAACAACCCUCAUCGAAUAUUCAAAAGAGGAUUACAAUAAUUAGAUGUAUCCACCAAUACAAAGAAUGGAUAGGCAGGAGCAAGACAGCCCGCUGUGCUGCUUUGUGGACAAUGACUCCAAUUGUUAGGGCAGAGAGAUGUAUCUUGUCAGUAUAUUCAGAAUCUUUGGCAUCAUGCAUUGGUUUACAUCUACUUAAAGAUGCACUAUGCAGAAAUUGCUCUGCCAUUUCCUGGUUGCUAAAGUUCCAAUAGUUAGCUUAAUUUCAGUUUGUAACGAAUGCGCUGAGAGUCGGGAAUUAAGUAAAGGGAGUGAGUGUUUAAUAAAUAAACAGAACAUAAACCAAGAACAACGCACUGACAUGGAACAGAGUCAAUUACACCUGAGGAAAGAACCAAGUGGAGUGACAAAUAUAGGGAAGGUAAUCAAGGAGGUGAUGGAGUCCAGGUGAGUGUAAUGAUUGCUGGUGCGCGUGACAGGUGUGCAUAAUAGUCAGCAGCCUGGUAACCUAGAGGCCGGAGAGGGAGUAUACAUGACACAGUAACCUCUCCCCGAUGCGCUGCUCCAGCCACAGGAUGCCGACAAAAGAGACGAUCCCUGGGAUCAGGAGCGGACUGGUCACCUCUGCUGAAGCGCGGGAACCUGACGAGCUGCCUGACGCGCCAGAGCCUGGCAAGCCAGCUGUGGCAUGGGAACCUCCCGAGCCCACCAAGUCUUGAGGACCUGACAAACUAGCUAAGGCAUGAAAGCCUGACGAACUAGCUGAGGUAUUGUCGGGUUCACCUAGGGGUCAUGAAAAGGGUUGUACCAAAAUUGUUGAUGUAUUAGAAUAAUUGAUUAUUCUUAUGUUGUAUUAAUAGGGGAGGGGUUAUAAGACCCCUCCUUAUAUUAUAUUAAUAGGGUUGUAGACUACAGAUUAACAAUAUGUAUUCAUUUUAGAGGUUUAGUAUUCCACAAUUGUUUUUUAGUUCUCUCUCUCUCUUUCUUAUAAAAAGGCCCCUCUGAGAAUGUGCGACUGUGAAGAAGGAGCUCUGUAGGAGAGUAGAGAUAAGACUAGUCAAAACAUUCCACAAUAAAUCAGCUUUGGGGAGUGGAUGUUUACUGCUAAGUUUAAGAUAACACUAAAAGCCAUUGUUUAUACAGGGUUUUGGUCUCAGGAGUAAAAAGGUAAUGACGUGGGGUAGGUAGUGACAUCACCAGGAUAGACUAAGGGUGUAACAAAACUGGAGACUUUUUGUUUGAUGCAGAAUUUACUCGGAAACAUGCGUGCUAUGUUCCUGAUUGUCAACUUCUGUCUGCAAUUGCAUUAAAGGUUUUUGAAUGAUUUAAUUAAAUAUAUUGUCAUAAUGCUA
rnacentral:lncRNA from 1 species